UACGUAGGGUGCAAGCGUUGUCCGGAUUUAUUGGGCGUAAAGAGCUCGUAGGCGGUUUGUCGCGUCGACUGUGAAAGCCCGGGGCUCAACUCCGGGUCUGCAGUCGAUACGGGCAGACUAGAGUUCGGUAGGGGAGACUGGAAUUCCUGGUGUAGCGGUGAAAUGCGCAGAUAUCAGGAGGAACACCGGUGGCGAAGGCGGGUCUCUGGGCCGAUAUUGACGCUGAGGAGCGAAAGCGUGGGGAGCGAACAGG
rnacentral:rRNA from 1 species